rnacentral:rRNA from 1 species
UACGUAGGGGGCAAGCGUUGUCCGGAUUUAUUGGGCGUAAAGCGCACGCAGGCGGUGCGGCAAGUCACAAGUGACAGGUGGUGGCUUAACUACCACAGGCCUUGGGAAACUGCUGCACUUGAGGGCUUGAGAGGGACGCGGAAUUCCAGGUGGAGCGGUGAAAUGCGUAGAGAUCUGGAAGAACACCAAAGGCGAAGGCAGCGUCCUGGCGAGUCACUGACGCUCAGGUGCGAAAGCUAGGGGAGCGAACGGG